rnacentral:rRNA from 1 species
GACGAAGGAUGCAAGCGUUAUCCAGAUUCAUUGGGUUUAAAGGGAGCGUAGGUGGCCUUAUAAGUCAGUGGUGAAAUCUCUGGGCUUAACCCAGAAAUUGCCAUUGAUACUGUAGGGCUUGAGUAUAGAUGCCGUUGGCGGAAUAUGACAUGUAGUGGUGAAAUACAUAGAGAUGUCAUAGAACACCGAUUGCGAAGGCAGCUAACGAAACUAUAACUGACACUGAGGCUCGAAAGUGUGGGGAUCAAACAGG